rnacentral:ncRNA from 1 species
UCCUGUCUCGCGAAAAGUGCCGACUGUGGCUGCCUGCCCUCCAUCUAUAAGGGAUGGAAGGGAUAGCGAGGCAGGUUAUU